UCGGAGGUUAUGGGCUUUUUAAUACGAAUUAGGCAACUCACCGAGGCUUUAAAAGGGCCAAGCGGCCGCACAUGAUUCAUUACACGCCAAAAUGUGGCCAAGGUUCCUUUUCCUCACCGUGCUCUUCCUUGUGGUUGUGACUGUCCUCGCCGGGUCAGUCAACAUCGGCAACCAGGGAACGGACAUCAUAGCCAGCCUGACCCACGGGUUGAGGUGCCAGAGGUGCUACUUCCGGAACAGCCGUGGCGAGUGCGAGGCGAACUGGGCCUGUCUCUUUGGCAGUCGGUUAGCAUGAAUGUGUGUAAGACUUUUUGCAACACCAUGAGCAGACCAUUAUCCAGCUCUGAGGAGAAGCUAGGUGGGUGGUCUCAUCGCCGCCUCAGCACUUGAGAACACACGCACAAGAGCGUGAUAGUGAAUCAUUGAUGAUUGCAAUCCCCCUACUCUGUCUACAUGCAUAUGAAUUUAGUUUAUUAAUGUUCACACACACACACACAUAUGUGUGUGUGUGUCUAUACAUGUAUGCAUAUCCAUUGUUUUACCUGUUUAUUCAUCUCUUCUUGCUACACUAGACAUACUUAUGUCGUGUUGUCUUCCCUCUUUCGAAAGAGCUAUGUAUUGCUGUAACUCUUCCUUCUUCAUCACCGGUUGUCACAUGUUAAAUACGUGACUUAUAACUAUCCUUAAAAGAAUGUAGGAGAUGACAGUCAGACUGCCUGCGAGGAGCCAAGGAGCAAAUCUCACUACAAGGAGGAGCAACCUCAUUCCAUCAUUAAUCUUCAAUAAAGGAAUCAAGACACCUUGUUUGUGUGCCAGCCAUUCGCCGUACUAUUGUAGGGUCCACCUCCCUGGCCCCUACAACUGGUGGCUUAACGGUGAAACUGAACUCGCACAACGCCUCCGAAAUUUCUUGGUCCUCACUAAUGCCCUUCCCUGCCAAGCGCCCAAUACUUCGUCAUGCUGUGAUCCACUCCUGCUGAAAUGUCCCCAUGCGGAUUCAUCCAGGCAGCCACGCAUAUGCAGGAAACAACAUUCCGGUAGCCAGUGGCGCCAUGACCUUGCUCGCAGUGCGGCCCGCUCUCUGCCUCGUCAGCCGCGCGUCUCUCCAGCCUCUCCUCACCUCAUACCACAUCGUCAAAAUUUAAGAAAAAGAAAUCGGUGAUUAAUGCCAAAUUAAAAAAUAUAUAUAUUUCUCAUGUGUUUGACACGUAACCUCGACUCAUGUAAUUGUACACUAAAGUUAUUUUCUUGUAUUUUGUGUUCAGAUGUCAGUUACAUACAGGUAUUCCUUUCAUGAGACUUGAAGAUAAUUUGCCUUCAGCGCCGCCGCAAACAUACAACUAAUAAACGCUUUUUGAUAACUGUGCUAUUGUUUCUUCCUUAUGUACUUUCCUGCUGUUCUUACACCAGCUUUUAGAUAAUUAUGAAGGUGACGAUCAUUUUAAGCCCAGCUUUAUCUACAUCAUAUUAAUGAAUUAUGUAUGCUGAUGUUAUUCAAUGUAUCUGUUGUUAUAUUCUACAUAACUUGAAUAGUUCUUAUAUGUUGUCUCAUGCAUAUAUUCAUAGUUAUUCUUAGACCACUGUGCGGGGACCCAAGGAUCAACACCUUACUCCUUGGCGGAGUUGCCUCACUCCAGCAUUACUCUUCAAUAAAGGAGUCGAGACAC